UCGAGCGAGGUUACUGCGACAGAUCCCUUCGGGGUGAAGUUGCUUUAGCCUAGCGGCGGACGGGUGAGUAACGCGUGGGUAACCUACCCUAAAGUUCGGGAUAACAGCGGGAAACCGCUGCUAAUACCGGAUGCCUUUACCGUGUGGCAUCACAAGGUAAAGAAAGGUAACGCUUUAGGAUGGGCCCGCGUCCCAUUAGCUAGUUGGUGAGGUAACAGCUCACCAAGGCGACGAUGGGUAGCCGGCCUGAGAGGGUGGACGGCCACACUGGGACUGAGACACGGCCCAGACUCCUACGGGAGGCAGCAGUAGGGAAUAUUGCGCAAUGGACGGAAGUCUGACGCAGCGACGCCGCGUGAGCGAUGAAGGCCUUCGGGUCGUAAAGCUCUGUCCUUGGGGAAGAAGGUCUUCGGACUUGACGGUACCCA
rnacentral:rRNA from 1 species